AGCGGAAACGACACUAACAAUCCUUCGGGUGCGUUAAUGGGCGUCGAGCGGCGGACGGGUGAGUAAUGCCUAGGAAAUUGCCUUGAUGUGGGGGAUAACCAUUGGAAACGAUGGCUAAUACCGCAUGAUGCCUACGGGCCAAAGAGGGGGACCUUCGGGCCUCUCGCGUCAAGAUAUGCCUAGGUGGGAUUAGCUAGUUGGUGAGGUAAUGGCUCACCAAGGCGACGAUCCCUAGCUGGUCUGAGAGGAUGAUCAGCCACACUGGAACUGAGACACGGUCCAGACUCCUACGGGAGGCAGCAGUGGGGAAUAUUGCACAAUGGGCGAAAGCCUGAUGCAGCCAUGCCGCGUGUAUGAAGAAGCCUUCGGGUUGUAAAGUACUUUCAGUUGUGAGGAAGGGUGUGUAGUUAAUAGCUGCGCAUCUUGACGUUAGCACAG
rnacentral:rRNA from 1 species